UUGACUAUCAUCUUUUAGCUAACAAAAUAUUGAAUUCUUAGAAAUUCUUGAUGAAUGUUGUAAAAGACAUAAUUGAAAUUGUUAUAUACCGGUCCACAUGUCUAGUAAGCUAUAUUGGUUUGAUCAGCUACAUUGUGUCUAUGUUUUAUUUCAAGAAAUAUUAAAAAACUAUUGUUUAUUAGAAUAGUUCUGCAAUUGUCCACUCACUGCAAUUUAUUUUUAGUAUAUUAUUACUUAUUAGUAGAAUCAUUUCUUUUUUUUAAGCCUUCCACAUAGCAUAAAUCAUAGGUUUGUUAAUGAUGCACCAAUAAUGAUGAAAGGGCUUGUCUGCAUGGUACUUAAAUCUCAUGUUGUCUGAUUUCUUAAUCUUCACUGCUCAUACCACCAUUCAAAUCAGAUUAUACUUUAAUUGUCAAAAACAGUGCUUUCUAUUAUCACUUGAUAUUAUAUCUUAAACAAUCUAUUAUCAUGAUUUAAAUACACAUGGCAAUAAAAUCAAAGCUAUAACAUUUAAAAUUGGUUUUCCAGCUACCUAACAUUACAUAUUUCCAUGAUAAGGUGAAACUACUCAAAGAUAAGACUUGCUUGGCUUUACCUAUUUAAGGUUGACCAGGCACCAUAAAGACUUCAAUCGCUAUCAGUGCUCCCUGCGUCAAUUUCGUGAUCCUCCAUGUGGCUUGGCAUUUGCAGUGCGACUUCGUGGGCCUCGGUGAUCCCUUCCAGCAUGUGCACGACUUGACCCAUGCUUGGCCUCGCAUUCUCAUCAUUUUGAAUACAUAACAAGCUCACCAGAGUAGCCCUUCUCACCUCCUCAACACAUGCAUUAUUUACAAUCCUUUUGUCCACAAUAUUCAUCAUGCUCCCUUGCUGAAUCUCCGUUGCAGCCCAGGCGGGAAAGUAAUACUUGCUUGACUCUUGCACGCUCAAGUCCAGAUUUCUUCAUCCUGAUAUUAUUUCCAGAAGAGUCAUUCCAAAACUGUAGACAUCAACCUUGGGAGUGAUUGGAAGACCAGAGAUCCACUCGGGAGCCAAAUACCCUCUCAUUCCUCUUGUUGUCGUCAGCACAUGACUGAAAUCUCUACCCAAAAGCUUUGCCAAUCCGAAAUCCCCCAGUUUGGGAGAAUAAUCGGCAUCUAGAAGAAUGUUCUCGGGCUUAACAUCACCGUGAAUAAUACGAUCUCUGCAUUCCUCAUGGAGAUAAUGUAAGGCUCUUGCGAUGCCUAAGGCGAUACCAAACCGGGUUUUCCAGUCCAGUGUCUUCCCUUGGAUUUCGGAAUUACAUUUGAAGAGGAAGGAAUUGAGAGAACCGUUGGGCAUGCAAUCAUAAACCAGUAACCUGUGCGAUCCUUGUGCACAAAAUCCUCUAAGCCUGAUCAAAUUCACAUGAUGAAUAUUUCCCACGGAGCUGAUUUCUGCCCGGAAUUGUUUUUCGGCAAUUCUUGAAUCCUCGAGCUUCUUGACAGCCACAAUUGUGGUGUCUGUUAGAGUGCCUUUGAAAACUGACCCGAAUCCUCCCCUCCCAAGCUUAUACUUGAAAUUCCUCGUUGCUAUCUUCAACUCCGCGCAACUGAACAUUCUAAGUGAGGUGGUGGAGGAAUCGUCACAGCCUUCAGUAGAAGUUGAUCGAUGCCCCCUCCGUCGCAGUACGUAACUAAUAAGCAAAGCAAUGAAAAAAACUCCAAGCAGUGAGACUGAGACUGAGAGUGAGACUACAAUAGGAGGUGUUUUGCGUUGAGAGGAGAACAAUGGAUCAGGUUCAAAUAUUGAAACAUUAGCUACGCGAACAAAGAGAGCUGGACCUUUCGAUGUGCUUCGCAGGUUGUGUAAAUCACCAGGCCAUAUUUGACAGGGCCCUGCAGGCUCCGUGUAGCGAAACGCGGUGCACGAGCAAUUGCGAAGACACUCUGUCUCACAAAUUUCCCUCGUCUGCGCAGGGUAUGAAUAAGCGGGGUUAUCAGGCAACAACACAUUGGAUUCAAUAAAUCCAUCAGUGCUACCAUUUUGGGAAUCGCAGUUUAAGGGGUUUAAGUGAACACACCCGCUCGACCACCAUUCUUGCAAAUCCCAGAUCUGACUGUCUCUUGGACUGAAGCCCUCCAGACAGCUGCAAGCUCUCCAUUGAUUAGCAUAUAUCACUACUACAUAAUAGAGGCAUUUAAGACAUUAGUUUAAGACAAAACAUUACUUUCGUCUUAAACACAUGUUUUAUGUUUAUUUUAUAUUUUUUUAAGUAUUUUAUUGUCUCAAAUUAAGAGGAUAAGGAAAAACAAUUUUCCGAAAUUAAAACUUUUCUUUUCCCUCUCGCUCAACUCAUUUUCCCCACUUUUUUUUCCACUUUCCCAAGCGACAUCAUAUUGAUUGGCAUGCAACUUUCAAUAGCAGGAAGGCUCCUUCAGAUAUCUGCAAGAGUUGAUGGAGAAUUAAUGGGAGAGGCCGGUUUGUGAAGGAAUCAACGCCAUAACCAUUGGCACACGUCUGUGAAAGGCAAGGGCACUACAUGUUCCUAUGGGAGGUUUAAUGCCUACCAUAUCGAAAGAGCAUAAGUAGUAACCUGAGAGGAGAGGGAAUAGGGGGAGAGAUUGUUGAUUGUUCAUUCUGGAGAGGAGAGGUUGCCCUUUUAGUCAUCACAGAUGCCAUUGAUUCGAACCAAGUCUCUUGUUCCUGCAUUCCUUUAAUCUGCAAAUUUAUAACACUAGGUAUGUGAUUAGUCGAUAUAAUUAUUUUAGGUGGGCUACGCCCAUCAAAAGUGCCUCAUGCAUAUCAGGAAGUGACUAUGCUGAGUCUGUUUUUUAAAAUUUCUGCCAGUCGAGGUUUUUAAACUCCUCUUUAUAAAGUUAAAAAUUCUCCGGAGCUGAUAGAUUCUGGGCGUCCAGUGCAUUUUUUUUUAUCACUAAACUUAUGUUAAAAAUAUUUUAUUUGUUUAAUUUUAGAUUCACUUUUCAUUUACUGUAAAUCGAUUGAAGCAACAGUUGUAUGGGGAUUGGUUUUGGUUCAUCCCCUGCUGUGGUAUUUAGGGUUUCUAAAUAUUUCCUGCAAACUCUGCCCAUUUUUUUUCAUCGGUCUUGUUGGUAGAAGGACAAAAUUUGUGGUAGCCCUAAAAACCUAAUAUUUUUCAGAUCCAAUAUUUACAGAUCCACUUUUCAGAGAGUAGUUUUGGUUCGUUUCAUUUAAAAAAAAAACUGUUCUGGUAGGGUUCUGUAAAGUUUUCCCACAAACUCUGCCUAUUUUUCUUUAUUGGGCAUUGGGUAAACGGGUACUCAAGCUUCUAUUGGCGCUACUGCAAUGCUAGAUCGACUGUGGAAUCAGCUGGAUAAUAUUUUGUGUUCCAUGGUAGGGACCCAUAACUACUAGAGACUAGAAAGAAGGAACGAUGGGUGUAUCCCUGACUAACGAAAUGGUGCAGGACGUUUUCUGACCAAUGUGGGAGCACCCGGACUGAACUAGGACUAGCAGCAAAGAUAAAAGGCAGGUGGGGGCGGGCUCCCAUCUAUGGAUAUCAGCCGAGUCCACCUAUACUUUACCAAUGAUCAUGAGUUAUUAUCAGGUGUCAGUUGCAGGAUUUCUGUUACUAGAUUGAUUAAUCCUGUUUCCACUGCUUUCAUCUUGCUUUUCUGCUUGUUGGUCCUAUAGUUUCCUUAAGGAGCGACUACUUUACCUCCCACCCAUUCCCUUCAUAUUGGGUUUGGUGGGAUGAGGACCCGUAGGGGUUCUAUAGCGGUAGCAGGUGGUUGUGACCAAGGCUCGAAAGAUUAUUAUCUCAUUUGCGUUUGGAGGUUUAUAAUAAGGAUCUUUGGGAAGAAAUUCAAAUGCCCUAUUUUAGAAUAAAUAAUGCAUUUUAGCUUGCCUAUUUGUGGUGUUUAUAGUUGAGGCGCUCAAAGUAAUUGCCAACAAACAGAAGGUUUGAGUUGGAAUUUCAAUUUGGAUCCCUGCAAUAAUGAUGAUACAAACAGACAUCAUCUUGACGACAUAGCUGGGUCACGUGGGGUCAUAUGCAGCUGUGCUUUUUAGCAAAACAUACCACUUGCCAUGUUAAGCUGUGAGUAACUCUUACCUUCAAAAUCACAUUUCUUAAUCAUUUAUGGAAUGAGAUAUAUAUUUACCUUUUUAUAUUGCAGAAUAAUGAUAUAUCUAGAACAGCAAGGGAUUGUGCACCCUGAAUUGGCUAAUAUUACACACUUGCAAAGCCUGAAUUUUAUUACGAAUUGUUGUUUUGGAACACUACCACCAGAGCUAAGGAAGUUGGCAAAUUUGGAUUAACUUAGGUGAUGUAUGUCGAGGAGCAAGGCCUUACUGACAUCAGAAAUCCAUAAGCUUGGAUUGAUGUGACUUCAGAGGAAGCUUUGAAGUAAGGCAUAAGGAUCUUCUCACUCAAUCAGAAGACGUUCGAGGAUAUGUCCUAAUCAUAAUUGCACCAUGGGUCCAAUUCAUAAAAGAUUCAUCUGAAUAGAGGCAGGUUGAUUGGCAAGUGCUUCAGCUAAGCAUAUUGUUGCAAGCAAGCAUAUUUUGAUGUUUGCAAGACACAAUUGAUUAUGGGCUGAAGCUGCUUAGGUUCAGAUUGGUCAAGAAGUGUUACAGACAGGGAAAACACUUCAAGCAUUCACCCGCUGCUAUCUCUUGGACCUACAGGGACAGUCUUCAGUUGCAUUAAGUAUUACUGUAGCUAAAUACAUUGUUGCAAGUGUUGCAUCAAGAGAAGCAGACAAUCCUGUGUUGCAGAUGUUCUCACCAAGUCUCUUGAAGAUUGAGAUAGAUUUGGAGCUAUGGAGAACACCGCCUUGGUUGAGAGGGAGUCUCAACCUCUGUGAUACAUUGUGUUGUAUCAACCACCCUCUGCGGGCAAUGUAAGGUGGUAUUGUAAACUUCUCAGGGAGAAGUGUAAUUAGUAACCAUCCUCUGCGGUCAAUGUAAGAUGGUAUUGUAAAUGCUAAACCAUCCUCUGCGGGCAUGGUAUUGUAAUCUUCUCAGGGAGAAGUGUAAUUGGUAACCAUCCUCUGCGGGCAAUGUAAGAUGGUAUUGUAAUCUUCUCAGGGAGAAGUGUAAUUGUUAACCAUCCUCUGCGGGCAAUGUAAGAUGGUAGAAAAGAUCCUCUCCACCCUCUGCGGGCAAUGUAAGGUGGAUCUAGUCUAUGCUUGUACAACGAACUCCCUUACAAGCAGUAGGUCACAUCAAACUACAUAUAUGUGCAGAUCUAAGUGGUGCUUACAGCGAAUUCCAUAUAUGUGCAGAUCCAAUUAGUGAUCACAGCGAACUAAAUGAACAAUAGAUCUAAUUGGUGAUUACGAAUCUCCAUUGAAGGCUCAAGCAAACGACUGCAACUAGUUGAAAGAUAUAUUUGAAGGCAUCAACGAGUAUAUUGAUGAUGCUGAAAUGAUGGAUGAAAUGACUACUAGGAGCCGUUGUGAAUUGAAACAUUGGCUUGGUCACACUGAGGAUAAGAAUCAAACCAUGUAGGUGCCAAUUCACAAACAUAAAUGUAUCAUUCAAAAUAUAUGUACAUUCUCUUUGUGUUGCUAGAGCCAGAUAGAUAUUGUAAGGUUUUGUCUAAUAAACAUGCAAUUGUUUUAUUUUCAAGGCAACAAAAAGAUGUUCAAUACAAAAAUGCAAAAUGGCUGGCAAUGGUCACAUGUUCUCAACUAUUAUUCAGACUUAAAACUUACUACUAAACCAAAGGGUGUUUUGAGACCCAAGAUUCUAAAGGGUACAAUUAUUCUUAAAGGGUGCUAGCUCAAUGGAAGAGUACCUGCUUUACAAGUGGGAGGAUGGCGUGCCCUAACAUGAAUUAAUCAAUGAUUGUAGUUUACAUUUAACAAUAGUGAUUUAUCUGAAUAGUGAGCUAUUUUUUAAAAUUCA